rnacentral:rRNA from 1 species
UACGUAGGGACCAAGCGUUGUUCGGAUUUACUGGGCGUAAAGGGCGCGUAGGCGGCGUGGUAAGUCACUUGUGAAAUCUCUGAGCUUAACUCAGAACGGCCAAGUGAUACUGCUGUGCUAGAGUGCAGAAGGGGCAACUGGAAUUCUUGGUGUAGCGGUGAAAUGCGUAGAUAUCAAGAGGAACACCUGCGGCGAAGGCGGGUUGCUGGGCCGACACUGACGCUGAGGCGCGAAAGCCAGGGGAGCGAACGGG